CAAGCAGAAGCACCUGAUUGGGCAGUGUGGAUUCCAUAUGCAGACAGGGAGAAGGAGCCUGUGAGAGCAGAAGCACCAUGGUGAUUGGGCAGUGGGGAUUCCCUAUGCAGAUAAGGAGGAGGCGCCUGUGAUGGUUAAGACCACAACUUUUGAUGUAGGCAUAUUGCUAAGAAACUGCUUCAAAAUGAGGAGCAGAAGGGAGAGAAAUUGCACUUCUCCCUUGCUUUGUAUCUACGUACAAAAGUUACCGAGUACAGAUUUUAAAAAGCAGCACCUGGUUUAAAUCUGACUCAUCUCAAUAUUCCCAUGUGAUUCAGUGGGUGGAGGAUAUCAAAGUAUCUCGCAGAAGAAUUCCAGUAAACAAAGCUCCUUCCUCUUUAACCUCUUGCCAAAAGCUGGGGGCAGGGGAAGAGAGAAGAGGAGAAGCACCAUACUGAAAAAUGAAUGAAAGUUUCUGUUUCUUGUACAUCUGGGGCCCAUUAGUGAGAAGACUGUAACUGAAAGCACUUUGACUAGGCAACUUCAGCCUUCCUCUGGUAAAGAUCUGAAAGACGGUCUUCGUGGUUGACGAAAACCCAGUCAUGAAAAGCUGCCUUCCACCAGCUGUUGCCCCAGCAGCUAUCACACGAGGUACACUCCUAGGUGAAAACUCCCCCCGGAGGGCUGGAAGGGCUGCUGCUUCAGAAGUCAAAGAUUGUGGCAUGUUAGAACGCACCAAAAAAAAUGCUCUGUCUAUGCAUUAUUUAUUGCUUUCCUGUAUUUAUAUAAUAUUCAGCUUCCUGAAAGUAAUUUGUUUUGGAUUGUGUAAUGCUGGGCAGAACAUCAAAGGUAUGUUAAUCAGUGGCAAUAAAAUGCUAAAGUUUAUGGUCACUGAGGUAUUAAAUAUUGCUAAUAAAUUACAGGGUUAGCAUUUUAAAUGAGCUACUGCUGGAGAAGAGCAUCAACACCAAGGCCUAAAAAACACUAAUUGCCAUGGCUUGACUGAAUGGUUAUCCAGGAGUCCCAAAAACAGUGUUUUUAGAAAGUACACAUUUUGAAGGUAGAGUGUCUGUACAAUAUAAAAAUAUAAGGGUUCAUUUGACACAUUAAGCAAUAUUUCACAUUUUUACCCCAAGGCACACCUUCAAAGCCUUCUAUAGAUAACUUAGAUUUUUAAGUGAAACAGUCAAUGUGUUAAAUGUUUAGCACCACACAGUAAGGACAGGAACAGGAAAGGGCCCAAAGUGUAUAUGGACCCUUCGGUUGUAUCUGUGUAUUAGGAACAAUGCCCAUUCUCUCACUACACAUAUUGUGCAAAAAAAGCUGCAAUUGUGUAAGGCUGAGGCUGGAACUAGACACUGUGGUGGUUAUGUGGCUACCAUUAAAAGAACAGCAGUUUCACCUCUCAUUCUCCUCUUCUCCCAGCAAUGUCUAGUAUUACAAUAUGUGGGACAUCACGUAGCCCCAUUCACACAUUCUGUUCAACACUAGUACAAUCUGUAUACAGUUUAUACAGGUACAGAUCUGUACUCUAGUAU